rnacentral:rRNA from 2 species
CAAAGAUUAAGCCAUGCAUGUCUAAGUACACGCCUUAACACGGCUAAACUGCGAAUGGCUCAUUAAAUCAGUUAUGGUUCCUUAGAUCGUACAAUCCUACUUGGAUAACUGUGGCAAUUCUAGAGCUAAUACAUGCAACACAGCUCCGACCUCACGGGAAGAGCGCUUUUGUUAGCCCAAAACCAACGCGUCGCCUUCGGGCGGCGCUCACUGUGGUGACUCUGGACAACUUUGUGCCGAUCGCACGGCCCUAGCGCCGGCGACGUAUCUUUCAAGUGUCUGCCCUAUCAACUUUCGAUGGUACGUGCUAUGCCUACCAUGGUGAUAACGGGUAACGGGGAAUCAGGGUUCGAUUCCGGAGAGGGAGCAUGAGAUACGGCUACCACAUCC